rnacentral:rRNA from 1 species
UCAGAAACUACAAAGGAAGUUGACGGGGCCCGGCGACAAGCGGUGGAGUAUGUGGUUUAAUUCGAUGCAACGCGAAGAACUUACCUGGUCUUGACAUUCCGAGACCCUUAGGAAACUAGGGGUGCUUCCAUCUGGAAGAAUCUGGAGACAGGUGCUGCAUGGCUGUCGUCAGCUCGUGUCGUGAGAUGUUGGGUUAAGUCCCGCAACGAGCGCAACCCUUGCCUUUAGUUGCCAGCAGUUCGGCUGGGCACUCUAAAGGGACUGCCGGUGUUAAACCGGAGGAAGGUGGGGAUGACGUCAAGUCCUCAUGGCCUUUAUGACCAGGGCUACACACGUACUACAAUGGCCGAUACAAAGGGCAGCGACACUGCGAGGUGAAGCCAAUCCCGUAAAAUCGGUCUCAGUCCGGAUUGGAGUCUGCAACUCGACUCCAUGAAGUUGGAAUCGCUAGUAAUCGUGGAUCAGCAUGCCACGGUGAAUACGUUCCCGGGCCUU